rfam:Micromonas sp. RCC299 mitochondrion, complete genome.
GGACGGGUGUCUGAGUGGUUUAAGGUCUCAGUCUUGAAAACUGACGUGCAUAAGUACCGUGGGUUCGAAUCCCACCUCGUCCG